rnacentral:rRNA from 1 species
GACGAACCGUACGAACGUUAUUCGGAAUUACUGGGCUUAAAGGGUGCGUAGGCUGUGCGGAAAGUUGGGCGUGAAAUACCUCAGCUUAACUGAGGAACUGCGUUCAAAACUACCGUGCUUGAGGGGGACAGAGGUAAGCGGAACUGAGGGUGGAGCGGUGAAAUGCGUUGAUAUCCUCAGGAACACCGGUGGCGAAAGCGGCUUACUGGGUCUCUUCUGACGCUGAUGCACGAAAGCUAGGGUAGCAAACGGG